GAAUAAGUAACGAAUAGGGAAUAGGGAAUAGGUAACGAAUAGGGAAUAGGGAAUAGGUAACGGAAUAGGGAAUAGGUAACGAAUAGGGAAUAGGGAAUAAGUAACCAACUUGACGUCCAUGGUUUCAUUAGGGUCUAAAUGUGACGCGUGAUUGCCGAUUUUUUGUAAGCCUGACACGUGAAGGUCAAAUUAUUGUGCCGUGAAAACGGGAAAUGAAGUCUAGCGGGACACGGGAAAUUACAAAAAAAUGAGAAUUGCUAACGUACAAAUAGUGUAAGCUGGAUACGGGAAUCUUGCAAAACUUAAACACAUAUUAUUGUCUAAAUAUACAUUAGGAUUGGAUACAAGUUAUAACAACUUAAAAUAAUCCUCUCCAAAUAAGUACAAUAUACAAAAUUUCAAGAUGACAGCAGUUAUAUAAUUCAGUACAAUAUGAAAUAUAUACAAUAAAUAUAUUAUGUUUAAAGAGUAACAGAAACUGUUGGUUAUGAGUACACUUUAAGAUACAGCAAUAUUAAUCAAAG
rnacentral:lncRNA from 1 species